rnacentral:rRNA from 1 species
CCUACGGGUGGCAGCAGUGAGGAAUAUUGCACAAUGGGCGAAAGCCUGAUCCAGCAACGCCGCGUGAGGGAAGACUGCCCUCUGGGUUGUAAACCCCUUUUAUGCGGGGAUAAAUGUGUCCACGUGAGGAUGUUUCCACGUCUCGCUUCAAUAAGGACCGGCUAAUACCGUGCCAGCAGCCGCGGUAAUACGGAAGGACGGGGCGUUAACCGGAUUUAGUGGGGUUAAAGGGGGCGUAGGGCGGUCUUAAAGCGCGCCGUGAAAGUGUGUGGGUCAACCGUGAGAGUGCGUCGCGAACUGGAGACCUUGAGUGCGCGGAAGGAGAGCGGAAUUCGUGGUGUAGCGGUGAAAUGCGUAGAUAUCACGAAGAACCCCGGUUGCGAAGGCAGCCUGCCGGAGCGUUACUGACGCUGAGGCUCGAAAGCGCGGGUAGCGAACAGGAUUAGAUACCCGAGUAGUC